rnacentral:rRNA from 1 species
UCCUACGGGGGCAGCAGUGAGGAAUAUUGGUCAAUGGGCGCGAGCCUGAACCAGCCAAGUCGCGUGAGGGAGGACGGCCCUACGGGUUGUAAACCUCUUUUGCCGGGGAGCAACGGGCGUCACGUGUGGCGCCACUGAGAGUACCCGGAGAAAAAGCAUCGGCUAACUCCGUGCCAGCAGCCGCGGUAAUACGGAGAAUGCGAGCGUUAUCCGGAUUUAUUGGGUUUAAAGGGUGCGGAGGCGGGCUUUUAAGUCAGCGGUAAAAAUUCGGGGCUCAACCCCGUCCGGCCUUUGAAACUGGGGGG